UACGAAGGGGGCAAGCGUUGUUCGGAAUUACUGGGCGUAAAGGGCGCGUAGGCGGCUUAUCAAGUCAGGCGUGAAAUUCCCGGGCUCAACCUGGGGGCUGCGCUUGAUACUGAUGAGCUUGAAUGCGGGAGAGGAUAGUGGAAUUCCCAGUGUAGAGGUGAAAUUCGUAGAUAUUGGGAAGAACACCGGUUGCGAAGGCGGCUAUCUGGCCCGUAAUUGACGCUGAGGCGCGAAAGCGUGGGGAGCAAACAGG
rnacentral:rRNA from 1 species